UACGGGGGGGGCAAGCGUUGUUCGGAAUUACUGGGCGUAAAGGGCUCGUAGGCGGCCCACUAAGUCCGACGUGAAAUCCCCAGGCUUAACUUGGGAACUGCGUCGGAUACUGGUGGGCUUGAAUCCGGGAGAGGGAUGCGGAAUUCCAGGUGUAGCGGUGAAAUGCGUAGAUAUCUGGAGGAACACCUGUGGCGAAAGCGGCUCACUGGACCAUUACUGACGCUGAGGCACGAAAGCUAGGGGAGCAAACAGG
rnacentral:rRNA from 1 species